GGCCUGAUAGCACAGUGGUUAAUGUGCCUGCUUCUUAUCCAUUGAGCGAGCUUCAAAAACAUGUAGGCACGAGACCCUCGUUCGAAUCGGGGUCAGGCCA